GCCAGCAGCCAUAUCACUCUGCAACUCACAGAUGGGAACCCAUUGAAGCUAAGCAGGUUUGAGCCUGGUCUGUACCUGGAUAGGAGACCUCCUGGGAAAAACUAAGGUUGUUGAAGGAA
rnacentral:rRNA from 1 species